rnacentral:lncRNA from 1 species
GGUGAUGUACCUAGGGCCGGGACUGGUUGGGGGGUGGGCAGGGGUGGCAGCGCAUGGGGGCGGUGUCUGGGGCGAGGAGUGCCAGGUCCUCUGGGCCCGGAGGGCCUGGGACACCGACAUAGCUACCGACAUAUCCACCGCCAUAUACGGGUACCAGCUCUAGGCGGCAGCUGCAGCAGUCCUCGAAAAAGAAGAAGGGGAGGAACAGGACGCGGAAAAACGGUUUAUUGAUGUGCAGGAUGUAUGAGGGAGGGGAAGGGGGGUUCCAGGAAUGUCAACCAGCGGGUGGCAGCUAGCGGUCGGAGAGAGG